AGAGUUUGAUCCUGGCUCAGGAACAACGCUGGCGGCGUGCCUAAUGCAUGCAAGUCGGACGGGAGCCCCUUCGGGGGUCGACCGUGGCGGACGGGUGAGGAGCACGUGGGGAACCUGCCCAUGCGAGGGGGAUAGCCCCGGGAAACCGGGGGUAAGACCCCAUGGGCUUGGUUGGCGGGAGGCUGGCCAAGCAAAAGCGCAAGCUGCGCAUGGAGGGCCCUGCGGCCUAUCAGCUGGUUGGUGGGGUAACGGCCUACCAAGGCGAUGACGGGUCGCUGGUCUGAGAGGACGAUCAGCCACACGGGGACUGAGACACGGCCCCGACUCCUACGGGAGGCAGCAGCAAGGAAUUUUCCGCAAUGGGCGCAAGCCUGACGGAGCGACGCCGCGUGGAGGAAGACCCCCUUCGGGGCGUAAACUCCUUUUCUGGGGGACGAAGCACUGACGGUACCCCAGGAAGAAGCACCGGCUAACUACGUGCCAGCAGCCGCGGUAAUAC
rnacentral:rRNA from 1 species